rnacentral:rRNA from 1 species
GUGUCAGCCGCCGCGGUAAUACGGAGGGUCCAAGCGUUAAUCGGAAUUACUGGGCGUAAAGCGUGCGCAGGCGGUUUGUUAAGCGAGAUGUGAAAGCCCCGGGCUCAACCUGGGAAUUGCAUUUCGAACUGGCAAACUAGAGUCUUGUAGAGGGGGGUAGAAUUCCAGGUGUAGCGGUGAAAUGCGUAGAGAUCUGGAGGAAUACCGGUGGCGAAGGCGGCCCCCUGGACAAAGACUGACGCUCAGGCACGAAAGCGUGGGGAGCAAACAGGAUUAGAUACCCCUGUAGUCC